rnacentral:rRNA from 1 species
GACGAACGCUGGCGGCGUGCUUAACACAUGCAAGUCGAACGGAAAGGCCCUGCUUUUGUGGGGUGCUCGAGUGGCGAACGGGUGAGUAACCCGUGAGUAACCUGCCCUUGACUUUGGGAUAACUUCAUGAAACUGGGGCUCAUACCGGAUAGGAGCUCCUGCUGCAUGGUGGGGGUUGGAAAGUUUCGGCGGUUGGGGAUGGACUCGCGGCUUAUCAGCUUGUUGGUUGGGUAGUGGCUUACCAAGGCCUUGACGGGUAGCCGGCCUGAGAGGGUGACCGGCCACAUUGGGACUGAGAUACGGCCCAGACUCCUACGGGAGGCAGCAGUGGGGAAUAUUGCACAAUGGGCGGAAGCCUGAUGCAGCAACGCCGCGUGCGGGAUGACGGCCUUCGGGUUGUAAACCGCUUUCGCCUGUGACGAAGCGUGAGUGACGGUAAUGGGUAAAGAAGCACCGGCUAACUACGUG